GAUGAACGCUGGCGGCGUGCCUAAUACAUGCAAGUCGAGCGAACAGACGAGGAGCUUGCUCCUUUGACGUUAGCGGCGGACGGGUGAGUAACACGUAGGUAACCUACCUAUAAGACUGGGAUAACUUCGGGAAACCGGAGCUAAUACCGGAUAAUAUUUCGAACCGCAUGGUUCGAUAGUGAAAGAUGGCUUUGCUAUCACUUAUAGAUGGACCUGCGCCGUAUUAGCUAGUUGGUAAGGUAACGGCUUACCAAGGCAACGAUACGUAGCCGACCUGAGAGGGUGAUCGGCCACACUGGAACUGGGACACGGUCCAGACUCCUACGGGAGGGAGCAGUCGGGAAUCUUCCGCAGUGGGCGAGAGCCUGACGGAGCAACGCCGCGUGAGUGAUAGAGGUCUUCGGAUCGUAAAACUCUGUUAUUAGGGAAGAACAAACGUGUAAGUAACUGUGCACGUCUUGACGGUACCUAAUCAGAAAGCCACGGCUAACUACGUG
rnacentral:rRNA from 1 species